rnacentral:sRNA from 1 species
UGAAUGGCUGCUGUCUCCCAGAAUGUAA